CAGACCGGCGCGGGGCGCUGCGGCCCAACUCCUUAGUAGGACGACGUGACUCGAGGGGCCGGAGGACGGAGGGCUCCUCCUCACCCCUGGGGGUUCCAGGGAUCUGGCAGAGAAAGAAGCCCAGUCUCACAGCAAUGACUCCUGAACAUCCUUUGCAAACACUAUUUAGGACAGAUGGACUGAAGUAGGCCCUUGGGAGAGUUGGGGGCAUUUCCGGAGGCCAGAUCAAAGGUGAUCUCCAGGAGAUUUGGAUGUUAGUGCAGGAUAGCUCAGAGCCAAGUGGCAGAUAAGUCUUUGGGAGCCAGAAGGGCUCUUCUCUAAGGAACAAGUGUAGACCUAUAGGGGCAAGAACCUGUGGCAACCCUGGGAGAGGUCUGCAGAUUCAGGAGGGAACAUCCCAAAACUCAGCAGAGGGGGAGAGGGAGCUUUUGUUGGUCACCUGGAACCACUACCAAUCCAUGUUCAUGUCAAAUUAAAUGAUCACUUUGAA
rnacentral:antisense_RNA from 1 species